rnacentral:rRNA from 1 species
AUAAUGCAAGUCGAGCGAACUGAUCUAGAAGCUUGCUUCUAUGACGUUAGUCAGGCGGAGCGGAUGAGUAACACGUGGGCAACCUGCCUGUAAGACUGGGAUAACUUCGGGAAACCGAAGCUAAUACCGGAUAGGAUCUUCUCCUUCAUGGGAGAUGAUUGAAAGAUGGUUUCGGCUAUCACUUACAGAUGGGCCCGCGGUGCAUUAGCUAGUUGGUGAGGUAACGGCUCACCAAGGCAACGAUGCAUAGCCGACCUGAGAGGGUGAUCGGCCACACUGGGACUGACACACGGCCCAGACUCCUACGGGAGGCAGCAGUAGGGAAUCUUCCGCAAUGGACGAAAGUCUGACGGAGCAACGCCGCGUGAGUGAUGAAGGCUUUCGGGUCGUAAAACUCUGUUGUUAGGGAAGAACAAGUACCAGAGUAACUGCUUGUACCUUGACGGUACCUAACCAGAAAGCCACGGCUAACUACGUGCCAGCAACCGCGGUAAUACAUAGGUGGCAAGCGUUAUCCGGAAUUAUUGGGCGUAAAGCGCGCGCAAGCGGUUUCUUAAGUCUGAUGUGAAAGCCCACGGCUCAACCGUGGAGGGUCAUUGGAAACUGGGGAACUUGAGUGCAGAAGAGAAAAGCGGAGUUCCACGUGUAACGGUGAAAUGCGUAAAGAUGUGGAGGAACACCAGUGGCGAAGGCGGCUUUUUGGUCUGUAACUGACGCUGAGGCGCGAAAGCGUGGGGAGCAAACAGGAUUAGAUACCCUGGUAGUCCACGCCGUAAACGAUGAGUGCUAAGUGUUAGAGGGUUUCCGCCCUUUAGUGCUGCAGCUAACGCAUUAAGCACUCCGCCUGGGGAGUACGGUCGCAAGACUGAAACUCAAAGGAAUUGACGGGGGCCCGCACAAGCGGUGGAGCAUGUGGUUUAUUUCGAAGCAACGCGAAGAACCUUACCAGGUCGUGGACAU